rnacentral:rRNA from 1 species
UACGUAGGGACCAAGCGUUGUUCGGAUUUACUGGGCGUAAAGGGCGCGUAGGCGGCUUAACAAGUCACUUGUGAAAUCUCCGGGCUUAACUCGGAACGGCCAAGUGAAACUGUCAAGCUAGAGUGCAGAAGGGGCUACUGGAAUUCUCGGUGUAGCGGUGAAAUGCGUAGAUAUCGAGAGGAACACCUGCGGCGAAGGCGGGUAGCUGGGCCGACACUGACGCUGAUGCGCGAAAGCCAGGGGAGCGAACGGG